rnacentral:rRNA from 1 species
ACAGGGAUUGCCCUAGUAACGGCGAGUGAAGCGGCAACAGCUCAAAUUUGAAAUCUGGCUUCGGUCCGAGUUGUAAUUUGCAGAGGAUGUUUAUGGUGCGGUACCUUCCGAGUUCCCUGGAACGGGACGCCACAGAGGGUGAGAGCCCCGUCUGGUUGGAUACCAAACCUGUGUUAAACUCCUUCAACGAGUCGAGUAGUUUGGGAAUGCUGCUCUAAAUGGGAGGUAAAUCUCUUCUAAAGCUAAAUACCGGCCAGAGACCGAUAGCGCACAAGUAGAGUGAUCGAAAGAUGAAAAGCACCUUGAAAAGGGGGUUAAACAGUACGUGAAAUUGUUAAAAAGGGAAGCGUUUAUGACCAGACUUGUGUCGUGUGGCUCAUCCGAGGUUCUCCCCGGUGCACUCCACACGGCUCAGGCCAACAUCGGUUCUCGUUGGGGGAUAAGAACAGUAGGAACGUGGCCCCUCUCGGGGGGUGUUAUAGCCUACUGUACGAUGCCUUGAUGGGGACCGAGGGACCCGCGCCUCCGGCUAGGAUGUUGGCGUAAUGGUCAUUAGCGACCCGUCUUGAAACACGGACCAAGGAGUCGUCCAUUAGAGCGAGCGUUUGGGUGUAAAACCCGCACGCGUAAUGAAAGUGAAAUUAGGUGAGAGCUUCGGCGCAUCAUCGACCGAUCCUGAAGUUUACGGAUGGAUUUGAGUAAGAGUUUUAACGGACGGACCCGAAAGACAGUGAACUAUGCUUGAAUAGGGUGAAGCCAGAGGAAACUCUGGUGGAGGCUCGCAGCGGUUCUGACGUGCAAAUCGAUCGUCAAAUUUGAGCAUGGGGGCGAAAGACUAAUCGAACUGUCUAGUAGCUGGUUACCGCCGAAGUUUCCCUCAGGAUAGCAGUGUUGACCUUCAGUUUUAUGAGGUAAAGCGAAUGAUUAGGGACUCGGGGGCGCUUAUUAGCCUUCAUCCAUUCUCAAACUUUAAAUAUGUAAGAAGCCCUUGUUACUUAAUUGAACGUGGGCAUUCGAAUGUACCAACACUAGUGGGCCAUUUUUGGUAAGCAGAACUGGCGAUGCGGGAUGAACCGAACGGGGGGUUAAGGCGCCAGAAUGUACGCUCAUCAGACACCACAAAAGGCGUUAGUACAUCUUGACAGCAGGACGGUGGCCAUGGAAGUCGGAAUCCGCUAAGGACUGUGUAACAACUCACCUGCCGAAUGUACUAGCCCUGAAAAUGGAUGGCGCUCAAGCGUACUGCCCAUACCCCCCCUUCAGGGUAGAAACGAUGCCCUGAAGAGUAGGCGGCCGUGGAGGUUGUGACGAAGCCUAGG